UGGUGGCGAUAGCCAGAAGGAUACACCUGUUCCCAUGCCGAACACAGAAGUUAAGCUUCUGCACGCCAAGAGUAGUUGGGGGAUCGCCCCCUGCGAG
rnacentral:rRNA from 1 species